rnacentral:misc_RNA from 1 species
UUAAGUUCAGCGGGUAUCCUUGUCUGAUCUGAGGUCAAACUACAAAGUUUGAUGUUCAGGCGGCCUCAACUUCUCUUUCGUGAUGAUAAAAUUUACUACACUGAGAUUGGUAUCGGUUCGCAAGCGUGCCACGUUAGAGAGGUGAAUCCUCUCAAAACCCUUAAAAAGGAGUGGGUACUGACGCUCAAACAGACAUGCCC